UACGUAGGGGCCUAGCGUUGUCCGGAUUUAUUGGGCGUAAAGGGCUCGUAGGCGGUUCGGUAAGUCGGGUGUGAAAACUCUAGGCUCAACCUGGGAGAGGCCACCCGAUACUGCCGUGACUUGAGUCUGGUAGGGGAGCACGGAAUCUCUGGUGUAGCGGUGAAAUGCACAGAUAUCAGAGGGAACACCGGUGGUGUAGACGGCUUCUGGACCGUAACUGACGCUGAGACACGAAAGCGUGGGUAGCAAACAGG
rnacentral:rRNA from 1 species